ACAUACUAAUAAAUUAUUAAAAUUCAUCAAAGCUUUAUUUGGUAAUUAAAAGUGCCAAUUUUCAUAUCCUGGCAAAUUAACAGAAAACAGAGCCUAAUAUUUUUCUUGGGUUCUAACUAUUUCAGGGAAUUUAUACAAAAAUUUUCAUCAUUUUUGGAUCACUACAAAAUUUAUAACAUAAAUUCAAACAUCAAGCAAUUUUAAUCAAAAAGGAAAAAGAAAAAAAAAACAGCGCAGCGGGCGGCCUGGAAACUGGGCCGCAGGCCGGCCCACACGCGCUCGGCCCGCACCCGCGCUGCGCGCGCUCGCGCCCUCGCCUCCCCUCAGGACG
rnacentral:lncRNA from 1 species